GAUGAAUACCUGCACCAUGGAAAUAGUAUAGAUCUUAUUUUUUAAACUGUCGUGGAACCUGUGUUCAGCUCACACAUUUCCUAUUCAACAGGAAUGUAUGAUGGACACCAACAGUACAGAAAGAUGAAGAUGUAAAUUGAUCCAAGUAAACAAUGGGAAAAUAUAUGCUAUAAUUACCAAGAAGAAGACUGCAUUUUUAUACAGUUGAAGUAUGAUAUGGUGAAUAAAUACCCUCAAUGCAGCCUUGUGGAGCUUUUGCUAGACCAUGAACAGUAGACAUAAAAAAGAUGCUCAUCUAAAGGACCACAAGUGUUUGAAGCAUUGGUCAACAACAAAAAAGCAACUGAACUAUU